UCUCUCUCUCUCUCUCUCUCUGCUGCGUGCUGUGCUUCGCUCGUCCCCAUCUCUUAUAAAUCGCUUCUCUUUUACGCACUCCCCGCUAAAGCCUGAUCAGAAACGUAAGGACACUACAAUAUUUAAUUCUAGAGUCUCGGCUGGUUAAAGGCUCGUUGUGGCUCAGGUGCUUCAGUUUUAGCAAGGUGCAGGUUUGGAGAUCACUGCUCAGUCGAGGUCUCUCAUCUGCCGGCUUCACUGCCCCCAAAAAUGACUUCCUGCUCGGUGCUAUCGGGACCUCAGUGUGCAGCUCACAGGGGGAGGAUGGAGUGUGCUGGGGAUGAGGAGUGUAGGUAUCUUCCAUGGCACAUGUGUGACCAACACCCUCAGCCACUCUGAUGAUCUUUUACAUGCCUUGGCGUCGAGCUAAAGAUGGUUUCAUGCCUUCUUCCUUCCACCCGAUAGAUCUCGACAUUUGGGGUCUGCUGGAUCUGUCUCCCAAAGGUCCUCAGUGGUGCCUUCCUGCACCCUUUCCUGCACCGACGCGCAGCCACAGAGGCUGCAGCCGUGAGCUGCACGUCACUCACCACGUCUAUCAAAUGCUGAAAAACGAUGUUGGGGAGCAACCAAAGACGGAGACGCGUCCUUCCAAGCGAACAAUGGAUACCAAUUCACAAUGGUCAAUGCAUAAGCGGUGCGUAAUGUGUUUUGGUUUCUGUACACGUCGUCCAUAGCAGCCGGUGUGUGUAGUGUGUGUGUGAUAGGGAGAGAGAGAGGGGAGGGGGGGCAGAGAGAGGAGGGGACCAGCGACGCGACGCAGCAGCUCCGCGCGCACACUGUCAUCCAAGGAGAUGUCUGGAUGCUGGCUGCAGUAUCGCCUCGGCCUCGGGCUGUCUCUGGUCACUGAAGCAAAAAGUAAUGCCAGUGUGUUUUUUAUUUUUAUUUUUUUAAACACUUCUGUGGGUUGGAUCAACUCAUUGUGCAGGUUUAAUCUCAGUGAGUGAAGGCGUGCAACGCGUGGGUUUCUCCCUGGACUUCUGGCUCUUCCACUUCCAGAUGCUGAUGCAAACUCGCGUUAAAAACACUCAAUGGACUUGAACCGGAGAGGCGGAAUUUAUUCAAAGUUUAUGGCUUCAAUCUGUGGAGUGCAGACACAGAAAUUCAUAUCUGCAGGACAUCAGGUCAACGGAGAGACACACCACCUCCUGCUCUAAGGGUCAGAGGUCAGAGGCGGUCAAAACAGGCUUCAUCACUAUAAAGUUACAGUGUACAGCAGGAAGACGAGGAGGAGGAGGCAGUGGAGAAGGAAAAAGAGAAGCAGAGUGGGUGGAUGAUGGAAGGAGAGAAGGAUAGAAGCAGUUCGAGGAGGUGGUUCGAAGCGGGUGAACCCAGAGCAGGUGAACACAGCUGUGGAUCGCCAAGGGCUCUCUGGCUGCCCUCCUUCUGUGGCCUUGGCGCUGCAUACAGGGGUCCCGGGGAGCCAGCAGGGGCCAGCCAAUGCUGCGGCAGAGUGGGCAGGCUAGGCCAACCAAGCCAGGAGAGAGGCAGGUGAAGCGGGUGAGCCAAGCUCUCAUCCCCGGCGGCUAGGAGCCUCCGCGGCAGAGCGGAGCAGCAGAAAUCAAUACAGAGGAGAGAGGCUAGCAGAGGUUGCCCAGCACCGCCUGCAGGCCACGGAGCCCAGGGACCAAACACCACCACUGCUCCCAGCUCUUCUCUCUUUCUAUCUUUCUCCAACAGUCCCAGCACCAGCCAGGGCCAGGGCCCUAACCGCCCCACACGCAGUGUGUUUGUCAGUAGGUGCACAUGUGUGUGUGUGUGUGCAUAGAAAAAUAGAUAGAAACGGCGAGAGGGAAGAGACAGAGAGAAGAGUCUUUGUGUGUGGUCAGCCGGAGGGUUUUUUUCUGCGUCCAAUACCACUUGAUAAAACUUUGUCAGAGAGACACAGAGACAGCGAGGGAGGGAGAGAAACGGAAGAAGAAUAAGACAGGACGUCGAAGGUCGCUUUUCUUCCAGCUCCCUCCCUCUUAUUACUCAUUCCACCUUAACUGUUUGAUAAGGAUCCAUCGGAGACGGUACACAGGACAUUUCGUCUCAGUCCCACUUCCAAGCACGAAGUGCACAAUAUUCCUAAGAUCUCAUGAGUCAGGAUGAAAGGACAAUUUGAACUUUUUGCCUUAGAUUUUCUUACCCUCACUACAGCAGCUCCCAUCAGAGGAUAUGGCAGUGCAGUAUUGAUCUGUAAGGUGGAAGAGAGGAAGGUGGGCCUGGGCUUUUCAUACCUCUCUCUCUCUCUCUCUUUCUCUCUCUCUCUCUCUCUCUCUCUCUCUCUCUCUCUCUCUCUCUCUCUCUCUCUCUCUCUCUCUCUCUCUCUCUCUCUCUGUGUGUGUGGGUGUGGAAAUGGCACCUGAAGUCCACUUACUGCUGUGCAGCAAGGAUCCCAUGGCAGUACAAGCGAAUCGCUGCUAAUUGAAUGAGAGAUGAAAAGGACAGUAGUUGUACCUGCUCAGUGUCCCCCCCCUGUCUAAAACGGUCUCGGUUUUUCAUCUGACUUUUUUCUCCUCCACCUUUACAAAAGUCCUUCUCCACACAAAGAGACUUGCUCUUCAGAUGUUUUUGCAGAAUUGGUGGUGACUAAAGAAAAUUGGCAAAAUCUUCUGGAAGGACAAAAAACCUGGCUUCAGUAGAAUUUCUUCAUGCAGUGGUAGAAACAUCCGGCUGAGAAAAGGUUUUAAGAGGUCAUGCUACAAAAUGUACUGUACUGUAGAUAUUUGUGGACUUGGAAGGACAUUACAGGACAGAUGGACAGUUUUCCAAGCAUGAAAACUUGCACAGGAUUCCUACUUCUUGAUGCUGCCAGUCAGGACUGCCACCAUGAAGAUGGAAAACAACGGUUGGCCAUUGGACCCUACUCUAACAAAGCAUGCACACUGUCUGUAGUCAAUUUCUCCAAAUAUUUAGCGCUUAGCCUCCUCAGCCACUUAUGGAAAAUUUCAUCUCUGCACCUGAAAGAACAGUUAGUUAGACACACAUCAUUAGAGUCUGAUUAUCUAGUAUACCGGGAGUCGUCUAGUCUGCAGUCUUUGUGGAUGUGGACAGGUAAGUUGGAGCCGCUUCUGAAAGGUAAGUUUAAAAGGUUGAAUCAAUUUUACUGCUGUCUGAAGUGUAAAAUGGAGCUGCCGAGCAAUAUUUUCCAAAAUUAGUUUCAUUAGAUAUGAAUUACUAUAUUUGAGAGGAAUUUUAGAUCGGAGAUUGGAUGAGACCCCAAGGGGUCCUUCUUUUUACUCAGUAAUUUACAUUCAAGUAUUUGACUGGAAAAUCGUUUGACAAGAGUGUGUUGCUCUUUUAACUUUCCUCAUUUCUGUGGGACAUUAUGUAUACAGACAUAUUUAUCUAUUCUUUUUCAUAGAAUAAUGAGUUCCUUUAUCAUAAAAUGAUCCCAGAAUCCCAAGUGUUGCCCUGAUAUGAUAUAUAUUCUCAAUAAAGUCAAGCAAUUUGUAAUAUAAGAAUUGGUCUUGGGUUGUUUUUUCCCCCUCUUCUAUUUGAUUCUUGUUUCUAUAUUCAGUAUGUCAGUGAUGUUUUUGUUGCUGCGAUUAUACAGAAGCUGAACUAUACAGUUAAAGGAUACAUUUGGUGAUAUUCUCUAUUUUUCUUAGUGUCAAGAAAUUCCAUGAAAAGACCAAAACCAACAAUUGGCGUCUUCCAACUUCCUGUGUGUUCAAAGCCUAAGAUAUCUGAUUCCUCUGUGCCACAGACGUCCAUUGU